rnacentral:rRNA from 1 species
UACGUAGGGGGCAAGCGUUGUCCGGAUUUAUUGGGCGUAAAGAGCGUGUAGGCGGCUAGAUAGGUCCGUUGUGAAAACUCGAGGCUCAACCUCGAGACGCCGAUGGAAACCAUCAGACUAGAGUCCGGAAGAGGAGAGUGGAAUUCCUGGUGUAGCGGUGAAAUGCGCAGAUAUCGGGAGGAACACCUGUGGCGAAGGCGGCCCCCUGGUUGGAUACUGACGCUGAUACGCGAAAGCGUGGGGAGCAAACAGG